GUAUAAAUACUGCUGAAACACAACGUUACCGAAACAGUCGACAUCAAGAAGUUUGCCGCGGUCCUGGUGUUGCUCUUCUUCACCGUUGUCGGUGUUGCUGCCGGUGCUGCCGGUGCUGCCUUUACACCUGGAGGGUCAUUCGAAGAACGUUCGGGAGAGAAGAUCGUUGAUGGCAUUGAUGUGUCCAAAUUAGACAGCCAGUCCCUGAGCGCCUUCAUGGACGCGGAGGAUGAGAAGCUUGUUGGUGAACUGGAUCUUUAAGUUGCAAGUCGAAUUCUGUCAAGCAACACGACGGAACAAAAGAGAUGGUUUUCCCUUGUGAGGUAUGGACCAAGAAUUUUCAAGGCGGCAAGAACCUUCUACAGAAAUUUCCGACGCACCCCGGUGUAAACCUCCCGGAGAGGAAAGUGGGUCACUCGCCAGUACACGAAUCCGUCAGGCACGUUCGGGCAAGCAAAGAGGGACUUUUUCAAAAUGAAACCGACCCAGGUGAAACCAAUAAAUGGAGGAUACAGAGUAAACUGGGAAAACACAACAUCAUCGUCCGU